GAUUCAACGCCGGAAAACUCACCGGGGGCGACGGUUACAUGAAGGCCAAGCUGAUGACUUUGCCUGAUUUUCCGAGAGGUGGUGCAUGGCCGCCGUCAGCUCGUGCCGCAAGGUGUCCUCUUAAGUGAGGUAACGAGCGAGACCUGUGCCUACAAUUACCAUCGACUCCUUUUGGAGGAUCGAGUACAUUGUGGGAACUGCCUUGGAAACAAGGAGGAAGGUGCAGGCUACGGUAGGUCUGUAUGCCCCGAAUUCCCUGGGCUACACGCGCGCAACAAUGGUAGGGACAAUGGGAUACAACUCCGAAAGGAGAAGUUAAUCCUCUAAACCCUAUCUUAGUUCAGAUCGAGGGCUGUAACUCGCCCUCGUGACGAUGGAAUCCCUAGUAAUCGGACGUCAACAUCGUCCGGUGAAUAUGUCCCUGUUCCUUGCACACACCGCCCGUCAAAUCACCCGAGCAGGGUUUGGGUGAGGCUUACUUUUUUGAGUAUUCCGAACCUAAGCUCAGUGAGGUGGGUUAAGUCGUCACAAGGUAACCGUAGGGGAACCUGCGGUUG
rnacentral:rRNA from 1 species